rnacentral:misc_RNA from 1 species
CAGCAACGUUCACCCGUGCAUACCUCUUCAUUUUUGCGGCAAGGCGUGUCUUGUCUUGAGCGCUCUUUGGGUUCCCUGUGUUGCAUACCUACUCGAUGGUAUUAUACGGAUGUAUCGAAGACCCUUUUCAUCAUGCGUCGCUCGUGUGGCGUGCGGUGAACCUGGAAGCGGUCUCUGUGAUCCACGUCGUCGGUGAUUCGGUAUCGUCGACAUGGCUCAUUGAGCGUUGCUUGCUCUCACGGAUACGGAACCUUAUGUGUGCAUGGGGUCUCAAACGAUCCCUUGUUUGCCCUUGUUAAGCGUUCUCGCUUCCUUAGAGCGACUGUCGGUCACGUGUUGGCAUGUUCAUACGGGACCGACAACGUCGAGG